GACGAACGCUGGCGGCGUGCUUAACACAUGCAAGUCGAACGCUGAAGCUCAGCUUUUGUUGGGUGGAUGAGUGGCGAACGGGUGAGUAACACGUGAGUAACCUGCCUCCUUCUUUGGGAUAACGCCCGGAAACGGGUGCUAAUACUGGAUAUUCACUGGUCUUCGCAUGGGGGUUGGUGGAAAGGGUUUUUCUGGUGGGGGAUGGGCUCGCGGCCUAUCAGCUUGUUGGUGGGGUGAUGGCCUACCAAGGCUUUGACGGGUAGCCGGCCUGAGAGGGUGACCGGUCACAGUGGGACUGGGAUACGGCCCAGACUACUACGGGAGGCAGCAGUGGGGAAUAUUGCACAGUGGGCGCAAGCCUGAUGCAGCGACGCCGCGUGAGGGAUGGAGGCCUUCGGGUUGUGAACCUCUUUCGCUCAUGGUCAAGCCGCAACAAUGGUUGUGGUGAGGGUAGUGGGUAAAGAAGCGCCGGCUAACUACGUG
rnacentral:rRNA from 1 species